rnacentral:rRNA from 1 species
AUUGAACGCUGGCGGCAUGCUUUACACAUGCAAGUCGAACGGUAACAGGGUGCUUGCACCGCUGUCGAGUGGCGAACGGGUGAGUAAUGCGUCGGAACGUGCCGAGUAGUGGGGGAUAACGCAUCGAAAGGUGUGCUAAUACCGCAUACGUACUGAGGUAGAAAGUGGGGGACCUUCGGGCCUCACGCUAUUCGAGCGGCCGACGUCUGAUUAGCUAGUUGGUGAGGUAAAGGCUCACCAAGGCGACGAUCAGUAGCGGGUCUGAGAGGAUGAUCCGCCACACUGGGGCUGAGACACGGCCCAGACUCCUACGGGAGGCAGCAGUGGGGAAUUUUGGACAAUGGGCGCAAGCCUGAUCCAGCCAUGCCGCGUGUCUGAAGAAGGCCUUCGGGUUGUAAAGGACUUUUGUCCGGGAGCAAAUACCCAGUGCUAAUAACGCUGGGGGCUGAGAGUACCGGAAGAAUAAGCACCGGCUAACUACGUGCCAGCAGCCGCAGUAAAAC